CCGGGGCCAGCGAGCGCUCUGCCCUUUCCUUGCCGGCCUCCUGCCGCGGUGUCUCCGGCUGCCGUUCCAGCCGGCUCUGAGGGACAAGGACGCUGUGCUUGAAGCUGUGCUUGGGAGUGUUGUCCUUAGGAGAUUUUUAGAAUCCUUGUCUAUCCCAUCUGGACUAUGUGACAUCUCAGGAAAUCAUUCAUCAGCCACUUGAUGUGUUUGUUAACGUACCUGGAGUUCAACUAUCUUCAGGGCAGACCUCAUCAAAUCCGACGUGUGUUCCCAGCUGAGCUGACAGAGCUCCACCUGCUACAGACACAUUGCUUCUACUGUGUGAACAAGAAGCUGGAUUCUUAUGGGAAAUGCUGUGGCAACAUUUAUGCUCUAUUACUGCAUGCAUUGCAUUAGAAAAGUGACCCACUCUGCUACAUCUUGGCUACAUGGAGAAUUUCAGCCAAAGAACCAAUCAUAUGUAAAGCACCAUCUUUCUUGCGAGGAUCAGCAUUUGGCUCCGUGAGGAUUUGAUAACAAAAGCCCAUUGUCUUCUGCAGGACCUAGAUUACAUGUAAGGUCAGUCACAGGAUUCCAGUCAAGCACCCAGCCCACAGACAUCACUGCUUUGCAUACCAAUGUGAAUAAGAGCAAGAAGCCUUUUCAGCAGAUAAUGAAAUAAGCAACCAGUACUAACUCAAACUCAUCCUAGCACUCCCCCCACACUCAGUGUUUCUUACUUGCUGAACACCAACAGCGAAGGCCUUCAAGAAAACUUCAGCAAACUCAUUGUACUCCUUGGAAACAUUCCCAGGGCUUCCAUACCUACAAUUAGAAGCAAGUAUGUACACUCAAGGCUGCAGCAAUAUUACUGACUUGAAUGUUUGCUUGGAGGUUUUUUGAAAAAUAAUAAUGGAAGAGAAAAUACCUCUCAAAGAGCCUAGCUAAGAUAUGCAAAGCCCACUUCUUGCAUUUCCACCAAGGCAACUCAGGUCUAUCAUCUUCAUCAACUUGAAGGGUUUCCUUUGGGGGGGAAAAAAAAAAAGAGACAUUAUUUACCAAUUGUUCACAAAGAGUUCAAAUUAUAUGUAUUUAGAACAACUACACAGUAUAUCUUGCUUUUAACCUGCCAUUUGAACUUCUAGCUUAACAGAAUAAUGAAGCAGAGCAUAUCUAAAAAUAAAUCCCAUGAAAUAUGCCUAAAUGAUCAAUAAAUUUUUGAAACAAGAAGCCAAAAUAAGCUUUGCUAUAAUUUAAAAAUAGAACUUGCAUACAAGCUACAUAUUUUUAAAAUUUGUUUAGUCUCAUUGAAACUCCCCAUACAGCCUAAUCUUUUUUAUUUAUUAUUUUCUUGGCAUCUGUAGAGAAAAAAGAAUGCAGAAAUUACAUUCUAGUGAAUGAAAAAUACUUAAAGACAUAAAUAGCCAAAAGCCACUUACAGCUGGUACAUCCCUAUCAACAACAGUCUUCAGGAUUUCUAUCCACUCAGCCAGGUUUUGCUGAUUUAUCAACUCCAGAGGUAAUGUGUACUGGUUAAAAAAAAAAAAAA